AGUACAUGCUGUACAGACUGCUGCCACAUCGGCUGGCUAGGUCGCUCUCCUCCUUGCCGAAGCCCCAGCCACAGCUGUCUCUGCUCCUACAGUCUCUGCCUCCAAGAUUAUGGCUGUGCCUCCCACAUAUGUUGACCUUGGCAAGGCUGCUAGUGAUAUCUUCACUAAGGUCUUAAUAAUUCUUGAAAAGAAGUCAGAGAAUGAAUUGGAAUUCACCAGCUCUGGCUCAACCAACACAGAGACCAUAAAAGUAAACGACAGCCUGGAAACCAAGUACUGAUGGAUAGAGUGCCUUUCCAGAGAAGGGGCACACAGACAACACCCUGUGCACCGAAAUCACCAUUAAAGCCCAGCUGACGGGUGGACUGAAGCUGACAUUUGAUUCAUCUUUCUGCCUAACACUGGGAGGAAAUGCUGAAAUCAAGACCUGCUAAAGAAAGGGUGUAUCAACCUGAUAUAUGAUGUCAACUUUGACAUUGCUGGGCCCUCGAUCAGUGCUACUCUGGUGCUUGGAUAUGAGGCCUAGCUGGAUGGCUACCAGAAGAAUUUUGAGAUCUCGAAGUCCCAAGUGACCUAAAGCAACUUUGCAGUUGGCUAUAAGAGAGUUGAAUUUAAGCUAGUGUGAAUGAUGGGGCGGAGUUUGGUGGCUCCAUUUAUCAGAAGGUGAACAAGGAGUUGGAGGCUGCUGUCAAUCUUGCCUGGACAGCAGGAACCAAUAAUACUCUCUUUGGAAUAACAACCAAGUGUCAGGUUGACCCUGAUUCCUCUUUUUGGCAAAGGAAACAACUCUACCCUGAUUGACUUAGGGUCUACUCAAAUCCUAAAGCAAGGUGUCAGACUAAACCUGUCACCUCUGCUGGAUGGCAGGAUGUGGGUGGCCAUAAGUUUGGUCUACAACUGAAAUCCCAAGCAAAAAUGAAUAUUGUGCAAUCGUUAAUUUUAAAUUAUUUUGUGGCAUAGCUGCCUUCAGAAUUUAAUGUCCCUUUUAAUGUUGUAUGUUGGGCAUGUUAAAAUUGAUAAAUUUCACGUUAGAUGUACAAGCUAAUGAUGACUCUUCUUAACAUUUCACAGAUAGAGUAGAAACUCCAUUCCAGAAAUGGUCAUGUUAGCUGUAGACUUGGGUUGGGGAGGAACACCUCUAAGGAGGCCAGACCGAAAGUGGAAGCUGGGAAUAUGCAAGCUCUUUAUAAAUCCAUCCACAGGUGGCUUCCUGUGCCUCUAACCUUGGUGUCAUAAUCCUAAUUGCUGAGAAGCAUAUGCACACCUAUUAGAAAGAAACUGAUUUUAUACAGAUUUCCAUGCCCUAUUUCCAUUCUAGACCACCACUUACCUGUUUUACACCAAAAGUAGUCUUCAGUUCUUUCUUUUUUCUUUCUUUUGAUGCAAACAGCAAGAAGCUUUAUUGCAGUUGUUUAAUGAGCUAACCCCAUUAGCUCGGGCCUUUCAUCCAUUCACCAUGGCCGAUGACUGGAAAAAGACCCCAAAAAAACACAGGACAAAGAUCUUAUAGGGUAGGGUAAGGGGAGUGUCUAGGGGUACACACAGGCUCAGGAUUGGUGUGCCUCCAGGCUUGGAGAACUUGCCUUGUGUUGAUUGGUCAACUGGUUGUUAUGGCCUCUAGGAACUCGCAGGGUGGUUGCUAUGCUCUGCAUGUCAUUGCUGUGCACUUGUCCAUAAAGCACACUCAGAGCCAUAAAGCAUAGCACCACCAGGUAACUUCUGAUUGAUUCCUUGCCACGAGGCAGGCAUCUGACCUCCUAGUGACCAAGGCAAGGUCAGGCAAGCACAUGUUAGGCUGUUAUGGCUGCCAAAAUGGGGAGCUGGUCUCUUCUUUCCCCCAUUUUCUUUUUAGAUAUUCCAAUCAUGGAAUUGCUGUCUCUCUGGCAUCCUCAUCAUGGAGUGAGUGAGUGAUAUUGGCAUGCCCUAUUUAUGGGAGUUUAUUUUGACUUAGCAUUUCAACCAGGGAAAAUGGGCGACAUAUUAUUUCCCAUGCUAAUUCCUGCUGACUUUGGGACAAAGUUAGGGACCCAAGAAGACUGACAUGCUAGUCAAAAGCAAAAAGGAAAUUCAGGUAAUGGGGAAGCAUCUGGUUGACAGACUCUGUUGAAGAGACAGGGGGUGUCCACAUCAGCUGGACUGGUUCACAUCCACAGCAAGUCCAGGGCACACAGUUCUUUAGGGGCAGGCAUAGUCAGCAACUGAUACUCAGAUGUGUCUGCCAGAAGCAGAAACCCGUUUAAGACAUGUUUAAACUGGGAACAGAAGUUAAAACUUAUUUAUUGAAACUCACAGUGCAAAUAAAAGCAGAUAUCUGGAUAUCUGUUUAAACAGCAGGAGCAUAUUUAUUACUUUGAGUCCUGGAAACACUAUAAAUUUGGGUUCCAUGUCUCUCUUCUACAGAUAGAAGAAAUCUCUCACCUUUUAGGCCUGGCGAAGAUUGCUGUUCUUUGAUACUUCUGCCUCCAAAGCUAAUGGAGAGACUUGGGUAUGGCUAAUUGUAUAUGGACUAGCUCCUGUCACUUUUUAUUAGGUUCCGAAACUAUAUAAUAUUUACAGUUCUCAGAUCUAUGAAAUAUUAAUGGUUGUCAGCUUGGCAGCAUCAGGCAGUCAGAUCCACAAGACUGUAGUCAACUUGGAAGCUGAUAAGGUAGUGACUACCUACUGUUCAGUCACAAGCUCAAGGUUUUUAGGUUUAUUUUGGUUGUAAAUAAAUAUAAACUUAAAGGGCUUUUCAUCAGGCCAAAGGCGCCUCUGUUCAAUCCAUACCUGGCUCUCUGGACAGAACGUUAGUUAUUUCUUUUGUGCCAUUUUAGGGUGGAGAUGGAGUGGGCAUGAUGGAGCCAUUCAUUCAGGAAUUCAUUACUUAAUUCUUCCUUGUGUGGUAAUGCAGUUUUCUUUCCUUCCUUCCUUGCUUCCUUCCUUCCUUCUUCCCUUCUUCUGUCUUUCCUUUUUUGCCAUUACACUAAAGUAUGAAAUAGCUUCUAGGAUUUCCAGCUCUGACUUGGGAAGGUGAUUGAGGUCUCACCAUGACAAAACUAAGGAUCUAAACUGACUUCUGUUACAGCCUUACCACUCUUAUGUUUUUAGAAGUUUAAUAGGAACAUUAUAGUCUUCUAUUUUGUGUAGAAUUAGCUCCACCCAUGCAAAUGCUGUGAAUGACAUCACUUAAAAUAACUUAAAUAAAAUAUUGAAACCUCAAAAAUAAUUAUGUAACCAAUGUGUGCAACAUGAUGUACAAGUAUAAUUAACUAGUAAAUAUAGUUAAUAUAGUCAAACAAAUUAGCAUAAGCUAUCAUUUCCUGCAGGCUUAUGUGUAUGCAUGUAGUAAGACCACAUACAAUAUUCUAAUGUUGUAUCAUGUUGCAGUAGAUCAAAUUGGUGACUAUUUCUCAUUCUCAAAAUCAGCACUCUAGAGCCUAUGCCCUACAUUGCUAUAGCUUUAUAUUUUUGUCUGUACCUUUCCUAAACCUAUCCCAGUAACUACUGACUUCCUCUCUAAACAUCCUGCUUUUCCUCAAGAUUCCUCAUAAUGUAAGUCUAUACAGUAUUUUUCUUUAGGUCAGACUUAUUUCAUUAGGAAAUUUAUAGUAGUUUUACCUAUGGUUUGUGAAAGGAAGGAACUCUUUUUAGAGAUAUAUGCUAUCAUACCAUAAAUAAUAAUUUUCCCAUCCAUCCUUCAAAAAACUCCUCAUUACCAUAUUUUAGAUCUUUUGAAUACCAAUGCAAAGAAGACAACAGUGCUACUUUACAGUAAUUAUCCAUCAUUAUUUGAGGGAAGAUAUAAAUUUCACUACAUAUUCACAAAAAUUCCUAGAAAAUAAGGUUUUUGCAAGGGCUCAGUGAGUGGUGUGUUUAUGUGUGUGUAUAAACAUAUAUUGAGUCAUAAAUAUAAAUGAUAUAUAUAUAUCAUCUUGGGAUAGUGAAACCUAUGAAAGAACUCAUUCUUGGAAGAAACUGACUUUCCCUCUGAUCUCAGCACCUGUUGUUCUAUAUAAAUUUCUAAUGUAGUUUAGAAAUUAAACUCUUGUAAACAAUUUAAAAUAUUUUAUCUACUACAAGAUUAACAUUUUGCCUUGUUCAUUACUAUUUUUUCUUUUUUUCAAUUUUACUGUAUUAUUUGUUUUUAUUUGUCAGCCUGUUAAUGAUGAUGCCAUGGAACCUUCUACAUUUUCUUCUAAAAUUUUUGUGGUUUCAGGUUACUUGUUGACACUUUUAAUCUAUUUUAAGUAAUUGUUGUUUAAUGUAUAAGAUAAGGAUACAAUUGUCUUCUUCAAAUGUGGAUGUCAAAUCUUCCAAAUGAAGUCUAUUCAGGCAUCUAUCCUUUUAAAAAAAUGAAGUGGAGGCUGCACUUAAAAUUUCACUUUAGUGACAUGUCUGUCUCAAUUUGUUAUUGAUUUCAAAUAUAUGAUUCUCUCAUUACUAUAUAUAUAUAUGGAUUAGCAAAACUACAUUGAACUUAUCACUGGAUUGUUACUUUUGUUGGCUGAUAAAAUUAAUCAAUGUGAUAAAUCAUGUAAACAGAAAAUAAGACAAAGGAAUGCCAUAGAAGAAUUUGAAUACAAGAAGAAUUUGAAACAAAUUUAGCCUUUCCUAUUAAAAUUCAGAUAGGUACAGAAAGAUAUUUUCUGGACAUAAUAAAGGCACUACUCUUAAUUGUCACAUUUUCCACAAACACCUUCUCCAAGUUUGCUUCAUACUUCUGCUAAUAUUUUUUUCUCUUAACUUCAAAAUGUGAUUACUGUUUUUGUCUGUUCAAAGUGUGUAUCUUUCUCUUAGUACUAACACCUUCACUUUUUGUGUGCAAUGAUAUUUUCCCAGUACAAGUGAUUGGUCAGCAUAGCCAUGGAAGCAACUCUCCUUCUCUAUCAGGAAUAAGGACAUGAUAAAAAUAAUGCCACAUGAUUAGUUCUUUUUUCUUGUAUAAUGAAUCUUUACUUUAGUUGCCAAAAGGCUGAAAAUGAUCAGAGUCUACUUUGUGAAGACACUGAAUUGUGGUAAAUUUACAAUUAUCCCUGUCACUUUGAUCUUAUCCAACUUUUUCUGGAGCUAAUCCAUUUUUUUUACAAUAGCUAGAAGAGUAUGGACAAUGGAUUUUGCAUUGGGGAGACUUUCACUAUUAUUUAAGUAAAUGUUGAAUUUAGGUGUCUUGUAAAUUAACCAGGAAAUUGUGAUAAAAUUUAAAAUAUUUGAAAACUAAGCAUACAGAUUAGAUGUUUAGACUGUCAAGGACAGAAGUCUAAACUGCUUCCUUCUGAACUGGUCUUCCAUUUGAACAUUUAUACUACUAGUCCAAAUACAGAAGAAAUAAAUGAUGAUUAAAUCUUAAUGAUCAUUUUUUAUUUUCCUUUAAGGCAAUUCUGAAUUAAUCUGUUGUGGUUACUCUAAUAAUUCAUUAUCUCUCUGUGCUCUCUUCUCUAAAUCAGACUGGAAAGAUUAGAACCAACCAAGUGUUGCUAUGAAACAACACUCCAAAAUUAUGGGCCUGGGAUUUAUAUAGAUUGUGGUAGAGUACUGUUGUUCUUUCCUGACAGAAAUGGAAAGAAACCUGAUUGCUCAAACAGAAGCAAGUUUUAUCUGUAAAGAAAAUUAUACUCCUAGUUUACAAAAUAUUAGGAUUUAAAUUGAUGUUGUAUGGCUAGUUUUAUGAUACAAGCUAUAGUUACCUGAAAGGAUGGAACCUCAAUUGUAAUCAAUAAGUUCCAGCUUUAUGGAAGUUUCUGAAUUAGUAAUCAAUGGUAAAGGGCCCAGCCCCUGUGGGUAGUGCUGUUUAUGGGCUGGCUCGCCUGGGUUCUAUCAUAGACCACACUGAGAAAGCCAUGAGGAGCAAGCCAGUAAGCAAUACUUCUCCAUUGCCUCAGCAUCUGCUUCUGCCUCCAGGUUCCUGCCUUUUUUGAGUUCUUGUCCUGACUUCCUUCAGUGAAGGACAACAAUGUGGGUGUAUAAGCCAAUAAACCCUUUCCGCCCAUACUUGCUCUUUGGUAUUGGUGUUACAUUGUAUCAAUAGCAACCCCAACUAAGACAGAUGGCCUCUGUCUCUAUUAAUUUUAAAACUUUAAUCUCUUGGCUCUACAAGACCAUUAACCUCCAUCUGUUUAUAGAGAAAAAUACAUACCCAAUUUCCUUUGAGCUUCUAAACUUGUUUUUAUUCCAGGUUUCAUGUUUCUAUCUCCAGAAGGAACUAUUUAUAUAAUGACAGUUUCUCUCCAGUUGUAUGAGGAUUUGUUGCUAUUUAGGAAUAGAUAAGGAGUUAAAAUAUGUUAAAGUUUGAUUAAAGAUAGAAUCCAUUGUUUAGAAAAUAUUUUUCUCUAAGCACAUUCUUCAAGUAUAUAGAAAACCUUAAGAAAAGAUUUUAGAACAGAGAUUCAAUUAUCCAAAAGCUUUUAGACAAGAUGAGUUUAUCAUCAGAAUAUGCUAGGAGAACAGUGACAUGGUGAAAUGGGGAUAUCAGAAAUGGAUGAUUUAGUGGAUUACUUGAAUAUAUAUAUAUAUAUAUAUAUAUUCAAAAUUAUAUAUAUAUAUAUAUAUAUAAUUUUUUGCCAAGAA
ensembl:lncRNA